rnacentral:rRNA from 1 species
GAUGAACGCUGGCGGCGUGCCUAAUACAUGCAAGUCGAGCGAAUGAUGAGGAGCUUGCUCCUCUGAUUUAGCGGCGGACGGGUGAGUAACACGUGGGUAAUCUGCCUGUAAGACGGGGAUAACUCCGGGAAACCGGGGCUAAUACCGGAUCACAAGAGAAGAAGCAUUUCUUCUUUUUGAAAGUCGGUUUUGGCUGACACUUACAGAUGAGCCCGCGGCGCAUUCGCGAGUUGGUGAGGUAACGGCUCACCAAGGCGACGAUGCGUAGCCGACCUGAGAGGGUGAUCGGCCACACUGGGACUGAGACACGGCCCAGACUCCUACGGGAGGCAGCAGUAGGGAAUCUUCGGCAAUGGGCGAAAGCCUGACCGAGCAACGCCGCGUGAGCGAUGAAGGCCUUCGGGUCGUAAAGCUCUGUUGUUAGAGAAGAACAAGUACGAGAGUAACUGCUCGUACCCUGACGGUACCUAACCAGAAAGCCACGGCUAACUACGUGCCAGCAGCCGCCGUAA